rnacentral:rRNA from 1 species
CACGUAGGGCGCAAGCGUUGUCCGGAAUUAUUGGGCGUAAAGAGCUCGUAGGCGGUCUGUUGGCGUCCGCUGUGAAAACUCGGGGCUUAACCCCGAGCCUGCAGUGGAUACGGGCAGACUAGAGGUAGGUAGGGGAGAAUGGAAUUCCCGGUGUAGCGGUGAAAAUGCGCAGAUAUCGGGAGGAACACCGGUGGCGAAGGCGGUUCUCUGGGCCUUACCUGACGCUGAGGAGCGAAAACUGGGGGAGCGAACAGG